UGGGAUUACAGAAACAGGUGUUCAAAUGUGA
rnacentral:piRNA from 1 species